UGGUGUAGUGGCCAGCACGCUCGGCGCGUAACCGAGAGGUCCGUGGUUCGAAUCCCGG
rnacentral:tRNA from 1 species